CAUAUACUCCCUCCAUUCCGAAUUACUUGUCUUAGAUUUGUCUAGAUACGGAGGUAUCUAGCACUAAAAUGAGUCUAGAUACAUUUGUAUCUAGACAAAUCCAAGACAAGUAAUUCGGAACGGAGGGAGUACUUA
rnacentral:pre_miRNA from 1 species